rnacentral:rRNA from 1 species
GACGAACGCUGGCGGCGUGCUUAACACAUGCAAGUCGAACGGAAAGGCCCUGAUUUUGUGGGGUGCUCGAGUGGCGAACGGGUGAGUAACACGUGUGUAACCUGCCCUUGACUUUGGGAUGACUUCAGGAAACUGGGGCUAAUACCGGAUAGGAGCUCCUGCUGCAUGGUGGGGGUGGGAAAGUUUCGGCGGUUGGGGAUGGACUCGCGGGUUAUCAGCUUGUUGGUGGGGUAGUGGCUUACCAAGGCUUUGACGGGUAGCCGGCCUGAGAGGGUGACCGGCCACAUUGGGACUGAGAUACGGCCCAGACUCCUACGUUAGGCAGCAGUGGGGAAUAUUGCACAAUGGGCGGACGCCUGAUGCAGCAACGCCGCGUGCGGGAUGACGGCCUUCGGGUUGUAAACCGCUUUCGCCUGUGACGAAGCGUGAGUGACGGUAAUGGGUAAAGAAGCACCGGCUAACUACGUG